UCUUGCUUCAACAGUGUUUGGAUGGA
rfam:Myotis lucifugus cont2.36745, whole genome shotgun sequence.